rnacentral:snRNA from 1 species
GUCUAUUCAGAGACGUAAGAUAAAAUUGGAACGAUACAGGUAAGACUAGCAUGACCCGUGCACAAAGAUGACACGCACAAAUCAAUAAAUGGUCCAAACUUUU